AUUGAACGCUGGCGGCAUGCUUUACACAUGCAAGUCGAACGGUAACAGGCCGCAAGGUGCUGACGAGUGGCGAACGGGUGAGUAAUGCAUCGGAACGUGCCCAGUCGUGGGGGAUAACGCAGCGAAAGCUGCGCUAAUACCGCAUACGAUCUAUGGAUGAAAGCGGGGGACCGUAAGGCCUCGCGCGAUUGGAGCGGCCGAUGUCAGUUUAGGUAGUUGGUGGGGUAAAGGCUCACCAAGCCAACGAUCUGUAGCUGGUCUGAGAGGACGACCAGCCACACUGGGACUGAGACACGGCCCAGACUCCUACGGGAGGCAGCAGUGGGGAAUUUUGGACAAUGGGCGCAAGCCUGAUCCAGCAAUGCCGCGUGCAGGAAGAAGGCCUUCGGGUUGUAAACUGCUUUUGUACGGAACGAAAGGGCUCUGGUUAAUACCUGAGGCUCAUGACGGUACCGUAAGAAUAAGCACCGGCUAACUACGUGCCAGCAGCCGCGGUAAGAC
rnacentral:rRNA from 1 species